AACUCUUGAAAACGGAUUUUUCAGCUCUCGCAGCUGUGAAAAACGUAUGGAAAUGCAAUUCUUGGGGUGAAUUGUAAAAUCCCUUGAACCUUCAUGUUUUCGAAGGCAUUUUGGCCCCGAAGUCUCUCGCCCAUCGGCCCGUCUGCCUGGGAUUG
rnacentral:rRNA from 1 species